CGCUCCGUGGAAUAAUUCACCAGCCGAGACCCGCCGAGGUGUCUGUAUUGUUGGGGAAAGGACACCCGGGAACCGAAGGAGGAGGAGGAGCAUUAUUGGGAAAGGAUGCCCGGGAACUGAACCGCUUCGCCCAGCUCGAGCGUGAACGAGAUAGCGAAGCGACGCGCGGGAGGCUUGCCAAGUUCCGAUUUUUAUUCCCCAGCGAGAAUAUUUACAUUACAAUUUACUUCAUUGGUCUUCUCCGCCUCAAAUGGAUGGAUGUCUCGCCUCACGCCUUUUAUAAUGAUCUAGUGAAUUCUAUGCCUCGGGGCGACUAAACACUUAUAUCUGAGACUCAUAUAUACGCGUAGUCUUUGGUAGCAUCGUUCCGACACACCGACACUCACACACAUAGAGAAAGAAAGUACUGGCGGCCAUCUCGUGUUGCCCUGGGGGUCCGACGCUACUGUUCAGUCAGGCCAAGGACACUGCAGGGUCAUGAUGCUGUUUGGCCUUCGCGAGGACGUAGUGUUAUUGACUCGGUGAUAUUAGUAUUCAUUCCGGUGGUGUAGUUGCCUUUCCUGGAUACGCAGCUACGUGGCGUCCCCAUCACACCUGUCGCCGGGGGGCCAUCGCACGCCCGGCUGGUUUUAAUUAGUGGCACGGGGCCCCAGCACUCCUUUACCUGUGCUCUAAUCCCUCCCAGCAACACAAUCUUCAACUCUGCAUUGGCGCGCUGCAGCCUAGACAUCCACAAAAGGUAUUUACGUGAUGGGGUGUGCGGUGAGGACCCAUAAUCGGAUUCCCUCCCCUGCCUGUACAAGGUCAGUGCGUCUGUUGUUUCGCCCAAACUGAACCCGUCAAAUGCGAGACUUUACUCGCAAAGUUCAGCGUGCGGGCGAGGUGUCCUGAAAGACUCUGUUUUGAGUCCCGCUCGCCGCAACUAAAUGACAAUUUUCAGUCAUCGUUUGGGGGCGUCGCCUCAUCCAUCUUACUACGCCAACCCCGGGGGUCUCUCCGAGUCUCCAUGUAAGACCCAUUCCCAUCCUACGUAGCUCAGAAAGGAUCCAUCGACUUGCUCUAACCACAAACUUUGUGGUCGUCCCUUUGCCCUCUUCUACAUGGGAUUGUCUCUCACAGAAACAGCUCGGUAAGCAGGGUCGGCUUCUGGGCAGCGUGCCUCAUGCACGUCAAACCGUAGUUGGCAUUCCCGGACUAUGGAAGUAAUCGGCCUCGAAUCAGUCUCACGGAGUAAUCGCCGAUUUGACACAAGUCAUCCCAGGGAUAUACCAUGAUUCCACGUAAGAACUUAUUGCCAAAGGUAUCAAGUUGUCUCUUCAAGUCAUGAUUCAGUGUCCAUGUCACAAUUUGUCACAUUGUCGUAGAGUAAGACAAUGGUUACAAGCUCCAGAUCGUUGUCAGUCGGCAUAGGUAUAAGCAACGCAAUAACAUAUACUCGUGCUGUGCGAGUCCAUAACACCGAAGGCCAAUCCGCCGUAUGACUUCUUGGUGAGACCCACCGUUGUUCUGAACUUGGCUGCCAAGGUAUGUGAGAUUUUCGAAGAUUUGAAUGUCCUCGCCACAUGCAUGGACAGACUACUGGAUCAUCUAGCAAGCCUCCAAACACCUGUACCUUGCUCCUGGCCAAGGAAACCUGGAGCUCCAAGGGCUUCCCCUCUUCCUACAGUGCUUCGAGAGCCAUCACCAGAGCCACCAGCGACUUGGCAAGGAUUACUUCAUCGUCGGCAAAAACAAGGUCAGUGACAGGUAUUAUCACCAUAAACUCCAUACAUGCUUUCUUGCAUACGUUUCAAGAUACCCUAAACUUAAAACCUAACCAAAAAGCAAACGGGUAUCACAUGUAUUCACUCUUUUU